rnacentral:rRNA from 1 species
AUUUAAAGUGGUACGCGAGCUGGGUUUAGAACGUCGUGAGACAGUUCGGUCCCUAUCUGCCGUGGGCGCUGGAGAAUUGAGGGGGGCUGCUCCUAGUACGAGAGGACCGGAGUGGACGCAUCACUGGUGUUCGGGUUGUCAUGCCAAUGGCAUUGCCCGGUAGCUAAAUGCGGAAGAGAUAAGUGCUGAAAGCAUCUAAGCACGAAACUUGCCCCGAGAUGAGUUCUCCCUGAGACUUUAAGUCUCCUGAAGGAACGUUAAAGACGAUGACGUUGAUAGGUCGGGUGUGUAAGUGUAGCGAUACAUUGAGCUAACCGAUACUAAUGAACCGUGAGGCUUAACCUUACAACGCCGAAG